GAUGAACGCUGGCGGCGUGCCUAAUACAUGCAAGUCGAGCGAAUGGAUUAAGAGCUUGCUCUUAUGAAGUUAGCGGCGGACGGGUGAGUAACACGUGGGUAACCUGCCCAUAAGACUGGGAUAACUCCGGGAAACCGGGGCCAAUACCGGAUAACAUUUUGAACCGCAUGGUUCGAAAUUGAAAGGCGGCUUCGGCUGUCACUUAUGGAUGGACCCGCGUCGCAUUAGGUAGUUGGUGGGGUAACGGCACACCAAGGCAACGAUGCGUAGCCGACCUGAGAGGGUGAGCGGCCACACUGGGACUGAGACACGGCCCAGACUCCUACGGGAGGCAGCAGUAGGGAAUCUUCCGCAAUGGACGAAAGUCUGACGGAGCAACGCCGCGUGAGUGAUGAAGGCUUUCGGGUCGUAAAACUCUGUUGUUAGGGAAGAACAAGUGCUAGUUGAAUAAGCUGGCACCUUGACGGUACCUAACCAGAAAGCCACGGCUAACUACGUGCCAGCCGCCGCAGUAA
rnacentral:rRNA from 1 species